GCUGUGGGAAGGAAAGAUUUCCACCCCCAUUUUAUAGCUGUGCCAACUGAGGCGCUCAGAAGCAAAGGGAUUUCCUUGACCAAGGUCACUAGGGAGUCUUCUCUCCUAGUCUGGUGGUCCGGCCCUCAGCGGCCUCCAGGCACCACACGUUGGGAAGCUCUGCUUGCGCUGGGCAGAGCCUGCUUGUUUCGGGUGGGGUGUGGGGAAGUAGGAAGGGGGGCUUCUCUUCCUGGCUGAGUCUGCUCAUGCCCCCAGGGUCUGACUUUGUUUUUAUCUGCAAAAGGGAGUGUCUCUUCCUGCAAACAGAUCCCUGGGGCUCUUAGACCAAGGUCAGGGGUUGUGAGUCCCGGCCCAGCCCCUCCACCCCCCUGC
rnacentral:lncRNA from 1 species